rnacentral:misc_RNA from 1 species
GACAUGUCAACGAUUGGCAGGGACUAAAUAUGGUGAAAGUUCAGAAUGUAUUAAAAUUACCAUUACAGACGAACAAAAUCCAACAUUAUGACAUUCCUACAACAUUAAUUAUUAAAACAAACACAAAACAGUAAUGUACUAAUUUCACAUACCCUCGAAUCAUAUUGACUAGAGGGGAACAGGCCAGGCCGCACCAGCACCAGCACCAGGCACCCACGAUUUGUACACCAGGAUAACGAUAAGAUUGCAGUAUCAUAGGUAGUCUCUAUGUAUACUGGAUGCUCCUUUUUAAAUCCUCAUUUUCCUUGUUGAGAAAAUCAAUUCGAGAUUGAAGAAUGUUAAUCAUGGCUUGUGCACUCAUCAUUUCAAGCUUCAAUGUUUCUCUCUCGACAGAAAUCUUGCGGAUCUCACGAUGCAAAUCAUAGAUAAUUUUCAUGCAGCUAGGAGGCACUGAUGAAUCAAGACUAGCAGUAUCAAGUCUACGAGGAGGAACAUGAGGAUCCUCUUUGAGUUCGAUCGAUUCCAUUAGAGAAAAUUCC